GUAAAAUGUAUAUAAAAAUAUCUGAGAAAGUAUUAUAGAGACGACGUACGAUAAUACAUGUAGGUACAUAGCACAGAUCUAAUAGUAGGUACAAAUAUUAAUCAAGGUAAUUUACAUACAUACUCUGUAUAUAACACAAACGUCUCUAAGCGUAAUGAUUCUAUUACACACAAUUUAUUUAAGAUAUUAUAAGCGCUUUCAUUUUUUGUCCUCAUCCGACACAUUAAUUUUAAUCUAUGCUUUUAAACAUUAUAGACCUGGCAACAUCGCGUACAUAUUUAUACUCAUCAACGGUCGCCGAAAUUUCUUAAUAUACCUACAAAAACAAUGUACAUUGGACCUUCAUUCUAUACAGAUGAACGAUGGAGCGGAUGAUUUCAAAAUAUAAUACUUUCGGUGAGGUAUUUCAACGAUGAAAAGCAAAAAAAAAAAACGACAGUUCAGCGCAAACAGAGACCAGCUCUCGAAACUAGAGUACCUAUACAAAUAUGCGUCGAACACAAAUUCAAAGGUACAGGGAGUAUACGCAGUGAAAUUAGCUGCACAAGAUAACUGCCGCGUCACAAACUACCCCGAUAUAGACAAUGUACAUAUAAACAACACCGAUCGAUGAGAGCAUCAAACGACAAAAUCUCAGGCUCGGUCUGGAGAUCAACUCAUUCUAGGCAAAGACGAGAUUUUAGCGUCCAGACUCUUGUCGCGAAGCUUUGUGAACGCGUCUUGAGUGCUCGCUUUUACGCGAGACUUCCUACCAUAGACUCACUAGUCACUUCCCCAAGACUUUGCGUCGCAAGUCUGGACGCCGUAUGAUACGUAAUAUACUACUGGGUAGUGGGUACUUUGAAAUGAGUUACAAAUAAAUGAGUGAAUGAUUAUUAUUGUGCUACGAGUUUUCAGGUAUUGCAGGCCCCGGGCUCGGACGAUUUGCAACUUAUUCGAGCGAAAUAUUGUCCGAAAAGACGAAAAUUAGUAUAAACCAUGCAUGUUAAGUCAACCGUAAUCAAGAUCUCAAGCGGUUAGUUAUCACAAAUAUCUAAAUAUAAUUAAUAUUCUCUCGAGCUUAGGAAAAAUUGUAUAAAAACAAAUUCAUAAUAUACAUUAGAUACUCUAAAGGGUGAACCGAAUCGCCAGCGAUUCGCGACGAGAUGAGGCGCUACAGCUACGAAACGAGAAGCUCUAUCCGACGGGACGGCGGCACGACGAACGAACGACGGCCGCCGUUCGGAAAGACACGACAACUCUCGAAAGGCGUUUUCAAAAA